rnacentral:misc_RNA from 1 species
UUAACUUAUUUGCUUUUUACUCAGAGAUGCCACUAUAAUACAAGAGUUUCGUACCUCCGGCGGUCGCCCGUCGCCCCCGGGGGGGCGGGGGCAGCGGCGCCCGGUAAGGGGCCCCGCGCCGCCGAAGCAACUGGGAUAAGUUCGCGAUGGUUUUAAGUAGCCUUUCGGCUUCUUGUAAUGAUCCCUCCGCUGGUUCACCAACGGAGA